ACGUCAACAACAAACUGUAUCUCACAGACUGUGGAGCAAGCAGAAUAAAGGAUCUUGCACAGGCCACUUGGUCCAGUUACGAGGAUGUUGGAGGCCCACAAUGCACAUACAAAGAAGGAAUCAGAUAUCCAAGUAGCGGGGUGCUUGGUGCAUUACAUAUACUACAGACUAUAUAUAUACUACAAUAUUACAGACUGAUGGGCAACAUCCCUAUCAAACCAGAAGACCCUACUCCAGUGAUCCACUUCGGCUGGCUCAAAAUGUCAAAACAGGCAACUUCACUCUUCAUUUUGAAGAAAAAUGGAGGAGCCUGAAGGAUAUUAUUACCAGAAUGCUGAAUAGCUCAUUUGAAAAACGUCCAACCAUUGGGGAAUGCCUUCAGGUUUUCACAUGUUUCACACAACAGUCCGGUUACAGGGGAACCACAACCAACACCGGCAGCGUGAAUAUAAAUGAAGUGAGUACAUACAUGACCACUGAGAAGUUUACCCUGUCCCUGGAAAUGUCAGAUAAAGAGGAACAGGAACAACAAGCAGAAGCAGAAAAGUCUUCUGACACUGAAGAGGAAUUAUCUGUGCGUGAAAUAAUCACAGAGCAGCGGUUGGAAAUGACGAAUAAAGAGCAGGAACGACAAGCAGAAGCAGACACUUCUUCCACCCCAACAGAUGAAUUACUUGUGUGUGAAAUGGACACGGAGCAACAACUUCCCCUUUCCCAUGAAAUGUCAGAUGACGAUAAACAACAAGCUGAAGAGGAAACAGCAGAAAAGGAAAUAAUUCGAGGACCACCUUCAAAAACCCCAAUGCCGAUGGAUCAAAAUACCCAUGACCUUCAACAAAAUAGUAUCCAAGUGAAAACUUCGUCAAACAGUCAACAUCAGCAGAUCUAUGACAAGAAAAAUGUCUGCCUGUACUGUCAGCGGCCAUAUGCAAAAAUUACAAGACAUCUAAAACAGAAGCAUCAGGAUAAACCUGAAGUGGCAAAGGCACUUGCACACAGGCAAGGUUCAGCCAUGCGCAAUCUUCUUUUGAGCAAAAUGAGGAACCUUGGAAACUACAACCACAACUAUUCAGUCAUGGAAUCUGGGAAAGGACAAAUUGUACCUAAAAGGCAAGCAACCUGUAAAUCAACAGCAACAGACUACCUGCCUUGCAAGUUUUGCUUUGCUAUGUACCUCAAAACAGACCUCUGGAGACACCUAAAGCGGUGCAAACUGCAAGUGAAAGAGGAUGGUCCAGUGAACAGACGACUCCAGACAUCCUGUUCCCUGAUGUUGCCCAUGGAUGCUUCAGUUUCCAGUGGAUUUAAAAAAGUCCUUGAGCAGAUGGCAUAUGACACAGUAACCCAAGUGGUGAAAUCUGACACUCUGAUUCUUUCACUAGGAGAGAGAAUGUUCUCCAAAAAUGGAGAAAAUGUGAGACAAUGGUCAGACAUUGGAAACAAGAUGAGGGAACUCGCAAGACUUCUUGUGGCAGCAAGACAGAUUGAUGAAGACAUUGUCUUUUUGAAGGACUUGAUCAGCCCAGUAAAGUUUAACACAGUACUUGAGAAAGAAAAUGACUGGGUUUGA
ensembl:lncRNA